UACGUAGGUGGCAAGCGUUAUCCGGAAUUAUUAGGCGUAAAGCGCGCGCAGGUGGUUUCUUAAGUCUGAUGUGAAAGCCCACGGCUCAACCGUGGAGGGUCAUUGGAAACUGGGAGACUUGAGUGCAGAAGAGGAAAGUGGAAUUCCAUGUGUAGCGGUGAAAUGCGUAGAGAUAUGGAGGAACACCAGUGGCGAAGGCGACUUUCUGGUCUGUAACUGACACUGAGGCGCGAAAGCGUGGGGAGCAAACAGG
rnacentral:rRNA from 1 species